CAACUACUCCCUCCGUCCCAAAAUAAGUGUCUCAACCUUAGUACAGCUUUGCACUAGAGUUACUACAAAGUUGAGACACUUAUUUUGGGACGGAGGGAGUAUAUU
rfam:Triticum aestivum genome assembly, contig: Triticum_aestivum_CS42_TGACv1_scaffold_645913_T_7AS-0.149561_3DL-0.076583